rnacentral:rRNA from 1 species
UGAGUCGGAUCCUGGCUCUGAGUGAACGCUGAAAAUAUGCAUAACACAUGCGAGUCAAGUUGUUUUUAAUAAUAAAAAUAAUGGCGUCCGGGUGAGUAAUUCAUAGAAAAGGAUUGCUAACAAAUCAAAAUAAUUGUUUGAUAAUGGUUAAAUACUCGUAUUUUGAUUAAUAAAAUUAAAACGAGUAUUUAACAAAAAGAUUUGAUAUCGUUUGUUAAUAUCUCUAUGAAAUAUUAGGUUGUUGGCAGGAUUAGAGCCUACCAAGCCGUUGAUGUUUAGUUGAUCUGAGAGGAUGUUCAAUCACAUCGGAACUGAAACACGGUCCGAACUCUUUUGAGGCUGCAGUGAGGAAUUUUGGACAAUGGGCAAACGCCUGAUCCAGCAAUAUUUUUUGUGUGAAUGAGACGGCUUAGUUUUGUAAAGCACUUUUGUAAACAUAAAUAAUGAUCUUUGUUUAAGUAAUUAAGUCCCGGCUAAUUUCGUGCCAGCAGCCGCGGUAAAACGGAGGGGGCUAGCGUUAUUCAUCCUUAUUGGGCGUAAAGGGUAUGUAGGUGAUGAGAAUUGGUUUUAUUGAAAGCUCAAGUUUAUCUCUUGAGACCAUAAAAACAGAAAUUUAUUUGAGAUUUAUUAGAGGUGGGCGGAAUUACUAAUGUAAAGGUAAAAUAUUACGAUCUUAGUACGAAUACCAAAGGCGAAGGCAGCUUUCCUAGAAAUCUGACACUGAGGUACUAAAGCAUGGGGAUCAAACAGGAUUAGAGACCCUGGUAGUCCAUGCCCUCAAAGAUGAAUGUUCAAUGUUGUUGAAAAACAAUGUUUUAGCUAACGCGGUAAACAUUCCGCCUGGGGAGUACGAUCGCAAGGUUGGAACUCAAAGGACUUGACGGGAACUUGCACGCGCGGUGGGGUAUGUGGUUUAAUGCGAUACUACACGCAAAAUCUUACCAGUAUUUGGAGAUAAUUUGUGUUUUUAGAAGAGAUUUUAAAAAAUUAAGUUAUUCAAGAUUGCAUGGCUGUCGUCAGCUCGUGUUGUGAAAUGUUACGGUUUAACCGUUGAACGGGCGUAACCCUUAUUUUUAUACAAACUACGAAAGACGUUAAAAUUUUUAUGAUUUGCGGAUUAUAAGAGUAAUUUGGGACGACGUCAAGUCAUCAUGGUCCUUAUAUACUGGGCUACACACAUGCUACAAAAAAAAGAUUAAUAAGGUCCGAAGUUUCACAAUGGAGGAAAUCUCAAACUCUUUUUUUAGUUCGAAUUAAAACCUGUAAUUCGGUUUUAUGAAGGUGAAAUCGCUAGUAAUCGUAGAUCAGCAUGCUACGGUGAAUAAGUACUCAAGUUUUGUACACACCGCCCGUCACGCGCUGGAAGUCAAUCAAAUUGAAAAUGAGAUGCCCGAAAUGAAAAGGUAUUUUGUUAAUUUGGGGUUGGUAACUAGGGCCAAGUCGUAACAAGGUGGUGGUAGGGGAACCUGUUGCUG